GACGAACGCUGGCGGCGUGCUUAACACAUGCAAGUCGAGCGGUAAGGCUCCUUCGGGAGUACACGAGCGGCGCACGGGUGCGUAACACGUGAGUAAUCUGCCCUUCACUUCGGGAUAACCACCGGAAACGGUGGCUAAUACCGAAUACGACCAGUCUUCGCAUGAGGUGCUGGUGGAAAGUCUUUUCGGUGAAGGAUGUGCUCGCGGCCUAUCAGCUUGUUGGUGGGGUAAUGGCCUACCAAGGCUUCGACGGGUAGCCGGCCUGAGAGGGUGACCGGCCACACUGGGACUGAGACACGGCCCAGACUCCUACGGGAGGCAGCAGUGGGGAAGAUUGGACAAUGGGCGAAAGCCUGAUCCAGCAACGCCGCGUGAGGGAUGACGGCCUUCGGGUUGUAAACCUCGUUCAGUACCGACGAAGCGCCCUGUCGGGUGGUGACGGUAGGUACAGAAGAAGGACCGGCCAACUACGUG
rnacentral:rRNA from 1 species